GAUGAACGCUGGCGGCGUGCCUAAUACAUGCAAGUCGAGCAACGGACGAGAAGCUUGCUUCUCUGAUGUUAGCGGCGGACGGGUGAGCAACACGUGGAUAACCUACCUAUAAGACUGGGAUAACUUCGGGAAACCGGAGCUAAUACCGGAUAAUAUUUUGAACCGCAUGGUUCAAAAGUGAAAGACGGUCUUGCUGUCACUUAUAGAUGGAUCCGCGCUGCAUUAGCUAGUUGGUAAGGUAACGGCUUACCAAGGCAACGAUGCAUAGCCGACCUGAGAGGGUGAUCGGCCACACUGGAACUGAGACACGGUCCAGACUCCUACGGGAGGCAGCAGUAGGGAAUCUUCCGCAAUGGGCGAAAGCCUGACGGAGCAACGCCGCGUGAGUGAUGAAGGUCUUCGGAUCGUAAAACUCUGUUAUUAGGGAAGAACAUAUGUGUAAGUAACUGUGCACAUCUUGACGGUACCUAAUCAGAAAGCCACGGCUAACUACGUG
rnacentral:rRNA from 1 species